GUUAGCGACAGGGGAAGAGAAACCCUGAAAGACAAUGAGAGAAACUACCACCUCAAGUCUAAUGAUGAAUCUGAGACUAGUCCAACGAAAAGGACUCCGUGUGGAUGAAGACUUUUUCUCAUCUGUUUGACCAAACAGUAGGCUGCCCCUAUCAACGGAUUUGGGCCUCCGCACAACCUACCAGAAUGCAGGGUACAACAUCAAAUGAAUUCCAAUUCUCUGAGAUCUGAGGCACCAACUUGUGUGGCUGCAUGCGCGGCAUAAUUUUGAUCACUCCUGACAAAAUCUCACUCCAAGGUUUUUUGAAAAGUUGGCAGGUAUGCUUCUAUGUAGUCGCUUUGAAGCUGCCCCAAAAAACAGCCGAAGAAGAAGAACAUAUUCUCGCGCAUCCUUCGUUUUACGAAACGCGCUCAGUUUGUCCGUGUAGUGCUACUAUAGAAACAUGGCUGUGCACAUUAAUAAAUUACAUGUAAGGGUGUGCCCGCGGUGUAUAUACAUAAAAUGGCUCAUUGUAAGGUAAUAUAAACAUUUCGUUUCAUUUUGUAAGGUAUUUCUUCACCACUCACAACAUAGUUUUGUAUUAUAUAUUACAUUUAGGUGAAUAAAUCCUUCAAAAUCCUACACAUUGUACCUUUAACUC